rnacentral:misc_RNA from 1 species
CGCACCUUGCGCCCUUUGGUAUUCCGAAGGGCACACCUGUUUGAGUGUCGUGAAAUUCUCAACCCUCCUCACUUUGUUGUGAAGGCUGUGGCUUGGACUUGGAGGCUUUUGUCGGACCCCUUCUGGGGAUCGGCUCCUCUCAAAUGCAUUAGUAUGUCCUGUUGCGACGUCGCCCUCGGUGUGAUAAUUAUCUACGCUGUGCUGUGCGGCUUGCUUCUAAAAGGGGAUGUGCUUCUAACCGUCCGAAAGGACAAUUUUAUGAACUUGACCUCAAAUCAGGUGGGACUACCCGCUGAACUUAA